rnacentral:rRNA from 1 species
CCUUGACCUCAAAUCGGGUGAGACUACCCGCUGAACUUAAGCAUAUCAAUAAGCGGAGGAAAAGAAACUAACGAGGAUUCCCCUAGUAACUGCGAGUG